AGGACGAACGCUGGCGGCGUGCUUAACACAUGCAAGUGGAGCGACGAACCAGGGCUUGCCCUGGGGCAGAGCCGCGAACGGGUGAGUAACACGUGGGUUACCUGCCUCGAUGACCGGGACAACCCGAGGAAACUCGGGCUAAUACCGGAUGUGCCCGCAAGGGGAAAGGAAGCUUCGGCCUCCGCAUCGAGAUGGGCCCGCGGCCCAUUAGCUUGUUGGUGAGGUAACGGCUCACCAAGGCUUCGAUGGGUAGCUGGUCUGAGAGGACGAUCAGCCACACUGGGACUGAGACACGGCCCAGACUCCUACGGGAGGCAGCAGUGGGGAAUCUUGCGCAAUGCGCGAAAGCGUGACGCAGCAACGCCGCGUGGGGGAAGAAGGCUUUCGGGUGUAAACCCCUUUCAGUUGGGACGAAGCUUCGUCGGUGAAUAGCCGGCCGGAGUGACGGUACCUUCACAAGAAGCACCGGCUAACUACGUGCCAGCAGCCGCGGU
rnacentral:rRNA from 1 species